GAUGAACGCUGACAGAAUGCUUAACACAUGCAAGUCUUUGGCGAAGCUGUGCUUGCACAGCCUAGCCAAGGCGGACGGGUGAGUAACGCGUAAGGAACUUGCCCUGCAGUCAGGGAUAACAGACGGAAACGACUGAUAAGACCUGGUAAAGUCAGGCGGACUCAUGUCCAGCCUGAUGAAAAGUGAUGCUGCAGGAGAGCCUUGCGUCCUAUUAGCUUGUUGGUGGGGUAACGGCCCACCAAGGCGAUGAUAGGUAGCCGGCCUGAGAGGGUGGACGGCCACAAGGGGACUGAGAUACGGCCCUUACUCCUACGGGAGGCAGCAGUGGGGAAUAUUGGACAAUGGGGGCAACCCUGAUCCAGCAAUUCUGUGUGCACGAUGAAGGUUUUCGGAUUGUAAAGUGCUUUCAGCAGGGAAGAAAAAAAUGACGGUACCUGCAGAAGAAACGACGGCUAAAUACGU
rnacentral:rRNA from 1 species